CUGGGUUCCAUCCUCAGCACCACAUAAAAAUAAAAUAAAGAUGUUGUGUCCACCAAGAACUAAAAAAUAAAUAAAUAAAUAAAUAAUAAUAAUAAUAAUAACCAACCAUGGUGGCACAUGUGUUGUAAUCCUAGUCCAGAGGCAAAGACAGGAGGAUUGCAAGUUCGAGGCCAGCCUCAGGAACCAAGGGAGGCCCUAAUCAACUUAGGGAGACCCUGUCUCAAAUUUUUUUAAUAUUUAUUUUUUAGCUUUAGGUGGAUACAAUAUCUUUAUUUUAUUUUUAUGUGGUGCUGAGGAUCGAACCCAGUGCCUCACAUAUGCUAGGCGAGCACUCUACCACUUGAGCCACAACCCCAGCCCCCUUUUUUUUAUUUUAAAAAGGGAUGAGGAUGUGGUUCAGUGAUUAAGCAACCCUGGGUUCAAUCUCUAUUACCCCAAAAUUAAUUAAUUAAUUAAAUUUAAAAGUAAAAAAGGACUAGGAAUGGGUUCAGUGGUAAAAUGCCCCUGGGUUAAAUCCCCAGUCCCUCCAGCUAAUAAUAAUAAUAACAACAACAACAUACAUGUGUUUUGGGUUUUGUUUUUCUGUAUUGGGGGUUGAAUCCUCAGGGCCUUAGACAUGUUAGGUAACUGCUCUACUGAGCUGCAUCCCCAGACUUUUUCUUUUUGUUUGUUUCGAGACAGGAUCUCUGGUCUCUGCAAGUGCCAAGGCUGACCUCAAAUUUGUAAUCCUACUGCCCUCAGACUCCUGAGUAGCUGGAACUACAAACGUGGUGGUACUUUCUUGAGAUGCUGUUUUAUAAGGGAAGCUGAUGGCGCUAUUGUGAAAGAGAGCCCCUCAGAAGCCUUCUCAGUGUGGGGAAGAGGUCUCAGGUGUUGCCCCCACCACCAGGUGAGGAGAGGCCUGAGAUGAUGAGCUGGCAAGGUAGCCUGUCAGAAGAGGGGUAGGAGGAAGGAAAAAGGGCAAGGGUAUGGGUAGCUGGGGUACUCAGAGACUUCCCCAGAAAAUAAAACAGGACAGAAUGGAAUUCGGGGGAAGGAAGGAAGUUUCAGGAAGCAGAUGCCCUAGCCCACCCUUGGUGGCAACUGACAUGUGCUGGGUGACUCUUCCCAGGCACCUUGGCAAUGCUCCUGGCCCAGGCCAUAGGGGCCUUGCACCUAUUGGACCAGUCUGGUUCCUGGGCCCUCUUGCUGCCUGUGGGUGUGUGCUCCCCAGCAGUUCCACAUUGCAUGGGAGAGAAUUAAGUUGUUUAUCUCUAAGGGAUCCUGACCAGAAACAGAGGGACCUCUGGGUCCUAGAAGAAGGAAAAUCCAUGAUGUCUGCCCAACACCCAGGGAGUUGUUAUAAAGUAUUGUCUUCCUUCAGCCAUUCUUUCCAGAAGAUCAUCUCCCCAGCCCUUUUAAGCCACUCCUAGAAUCUUCUGGAGGAGGCUCAAGAAGGAUAUAUCUGAAGAGAUUUAUACCCUUAUCUGGAGUAGUAAGUGUUGUUUUGUUUUGGUUCAUUUGUUUUUGGUUUUUGCUGAGGAUUGAACCCAGGCAUGCUCUACUGAGCUAUAUGUCCCCAGCACUUUGUUUAUUUAUUUAUUUUUGGUACUGUGGAUUGAACCAGGGGUACUUAACCACUGAGUCACAUCCCCAUCCCUUUUUAUUUUUUAUUUUGAAACAGGGUCUCACUAAGUUGCUUAGGCCUUCACCAAAUUGCUGGGGCUGGUCUUGAACUUGCCAUCCUCCUGCAUCAGCCUCCCAAGCCACUGGGAUUACAAGUGUGCCCCACACAACCAGCUUUGUUUUUUCAUGAUGAGGCUAGCCAAAUUUCUGAGGCUGGCCUCAAACUUGCCAUCUUCCUGCCUGUUAGGAUGGCCUUGGGCCUGAGCCUAAUUAACUCCAUUUUAAAAACUCCAUUUUGAAACCAGUUUCACUAGGCACACUCACAGAGCCCUCCAGUAUGGCCUCAAACAAGUUGCUUCCCCUCUCCCUAAUAAACAGAGUGAAGCCCCUGGCAGGCUGUCCUCCUCUGAUAAGAGGGAAAAUUGAGAAGAUCAGGGUGGAGACCACCAGACCAGAUGUUUCUGACCCCAGGGUAAAUGAUGUCACUGAGAAAUUCAGUGGUAGCUGGUAAGGAUUGAAAGGGGGGUCAAACCCCCUAAAAUUUCGUAUAAAUGAUAAAGCAAAUGAACAGGGAUUCGGCCAGCCGAAACAAGGAUGCACUCGAGCUGGAGAGCCUGAUGAGGACCUGACAUCCCAUCACUUGUCAUCCUUUCCUGAGCCUCUGCAUGAUCCUCACUGCUGUCAAACUCUACUGCCUCGUCUAGACUUUGGUGUGAGCUGCAACUCCUCCCUACAACCCCCUCCUCGACCGGGUGUCCACUCCACACCAGGAAAAGCCUGCCUUGGUUCCGGACCUGAUCACAGUGGUCUAAGUGAGUGUGCAUCUGCUGGACUUAAAGCCUAAGGCUUAAGACUUUUGAACUUAGCAUGCAGAGAGAAUGUCUGUCUUUAGCUUAUCAUGAUUAAGUGUGUUUUCAGUGCUUAGAAUUAAUCUAGAAUUGUGUGCUGUGAAUUAAUUAAUCUUGAAUUGUUUGCUGUGAAUUGAUUAUGUCUAUGGCAGUGCCUAACAUUCAGGAUUGUCCUUUUCUUGAUUAAGAACCUAUAGAGUGAAACUGUACUGAGUAAUUUGAGUGAAUAAAGCAUUGAAAGGGGCAGGAGCACAU
rnacentral:lncRNA from 1 species